UAAGCUUCAAACUGGGAUUAGAUACCCCACUAUUCUUGAUUGUAAAUACAAUUAAAUUUACCAGAGUACUAUGAAUAGUUAAAAAAUUUAAAACUCAAAGGGCUUGGCGGUGUUUUAGACCUAUCAGGGGAACCUGUCUCGUAAUCGACAAUCCACGUAAUAUCUAACCUUAUUUUGUAAACCAGUUUGUAUACCGUCGUCGUCAGGUAACUUUUAAAAAUAUAGAAGUUAGCAGUUAAAACUAUUUAGUUAAAACGUCAGAUCAAGGUGCAGCUUAUAGUAAGGAGAGGAUGGGUUACAGUUAUAAAAAUCAUAAUUACGGAAAUUUAAAUGGAACUUAUUUUGAAGGAGGACUUGAAAGUAAACUAAAAUACAUAAAUAGUUUGAAUAAGGCUCUGAAACGUGCACACACCGCCCGUCACCCUCUGCAGUCAAAAAA
rnacentral:rRNA from 1 species